rnacentral:rRNA from 1 species
GUAGGUGGCAAGCGUUGUCCGGAAUUAUUGGGCGUAAAGCGCGCGCAGGGCGGUCCUUUAAGUCUGAUGUGAAAGCCCACGGCUCAACCGUGGAGGGUCAUUGGAAACUGGGGGACUUGAGUACAGAAGAGGAAGGCGGAAUUCCAAGUGUAGCGGUGAAAUGCGUAGAGAUUUGGAGGAACACCAGUGGCGAAGGCGGCUUUCUGGUCUGUAACUGACGCUGAGGCGCGAAAGCGUGGGGAGCAAACAGGAUUAGAUACCCUGGUAGUCCACGCCGUAAACGAUGAGUGCUAAGUGUUAGGGGGGUUUCCGCCCCUUAGUGCUGCAGCUAACGCAUCAAGCACUCCGCCUGGGGAGUACGGCCGCAAGGCUG